GCCAGGUGUGGUGGCGCACGCCUGUAAUCCCAGCUACUCGGGAGGCUGAGGCAGGAGAAUUGCUUGAACCCAGGAGGUAAAAGUUGCCGUGAGCAGAGACUGCACCACUGCACUCCAGCCUGGGUGACAGAGUGAGACUCUGUCUCAA
rnacentral:SRP_RNA from 1 species